AAACUCAAAUGAAUUGACGGGGGCCCGCACAAGCGGUGGAGCAUGUGGUUUAAUUUCGAUGCAACGCGAAGAACCUUACCUACUCUUGACAUCCUGCGAACUUGUGAGAGAUCACUUGGUGCCUUCGGGAGCGCAGAGACAGGUGCUGCAUGGCUGUCGUCAGCUCGUGUUGUGAAAUGUUGGGUUAAGUCCCGUAACGAGCGCAACCCUUGUCCUUAUUUGCCAGCGGGUAAUGCCGGGAACUCUAAGGAGACUGCCGGUGACAAACCGGAGGAAGGUGGGGACGACGUCAAGUCAUCAUGGCCCUUACGAGUAGGGCUACACACGUGCUACAAUGGCCGGUACAAAGGGUUGCGAGCUCGCGAGAGUCAGCUAAUCCCGAAAAGCCGGUCUCAGUCCGGAUCGGAGUCUGCAACUCGACUCCGUGAAGUCGGAAUCGCUAGUAAUCGUGAAUCAGAAUGUCACGGUGAAUACGUUCCCGGGCCUUGCACACACCGCCCGU
rnacentral:rRNA from 1 species